AACGUAGGACACAAGCGUUAUCCGGAGUUACUGGGCGUAAAGGGCGUGCAGGCGGUUUCUUAAGUCAGGCGUGAAACCAUUCGGCUAAACCGGGUGUAGUCGUCUGAGACUGGGAAACUUGAGUGUGGUAGAGGCGUGUAGAAUUCCGGGUGUAGUGGUGAAAUGCGUAGAUAUCCGGAGGAAUACCAGUGGCGAAGGCGGCACGCUGGGCCAUAACUGACGCUAAGACGCGAAAGCAUGGGUAGCGAACGGG
rnacentral:rRNA from 1 species